rnacentral:rRNA from 1 species
UACGUAGGGGGCAAGCGUUGUCCGGAAUCAUUGGGCGUAAAGCGCGUGUAGGCGGCUGAGUAAGUCUGCUCUGAAAGCCCGGGGCUCAACCCCGGGAGGCGGGUGGAUACUGCUCAGCUCGAGUCCGGAAGAGGAGUGUGGAAUUCCAGGUGUAGCGGUGAAAUGCGUAGAUAUCUGGAGGAAUACCGGUGGCGAAGGCGGCAUCCUGGACCGGCAUUGACGCUGAGUGAGCGAAAGCCAGGGGAGCAAACGGG